UGGUAUCACGAAAACCAAGGGUCAGUGUCAUAAUACCCAAAACAAUUUCAAGGGAAGGCAAAAACACCUUUCAGUAUUGCGGAACCAACCCUUUGAUAUUGUGAUCCCUAAAAUAAUUUCAAAUGAGGUUGUAAAACAUACAGGGACAUCACGAUACCCUAACUCUAAUAUCGCGAUACCUCUUUUGGAUUCUGUAGAAAACCCAUUUUGGGUAUCCUAACCCCUUUGUUUUACCCCUAUUGUCUCUUAGUUUUCAGCCUUAAUCUCCCUCAUACUCUUCCCCAUUUCACUUUCCUCUCAAUUUCUUCUCUUUAUUUGCAAUUGUUUUUAUCACUUUUGGUGUUUUCUUCCAAUUUAUCAGGUAUCCUUGGUUGAUUUGGGAACUACGGCACCACACGAACAAAUCGAGAGCCUUCAACACCAAUAGCCAUUUGAGGGAGAUGAAUCAAUAAGGAGAUGAGGAAUGUAUGGCUGGAGGCAAAGUUGGUAACUAUUUCCUACACCUAAUUACGAAUUUAUACUAUAAAGAAAGGGUGGUUGUGGAACCAACUGAUCACCCCACCCGUAGCAUCAUAGGCGACUCCAUGCUCCAUCAAUUCAAAAAACUACAGAGAAACAAAUUCAAGAGUGGAACUAGUGCCAGAAACACAAGAUAGAGAUGCCUCCUGCCUUUCUGAAGAAGGCCAUUUCAAAGAAGGCUUUCAGAGGCAAAAAAACGUAGCUCGAUGAGCUAUUAAAGAUGGUGCGGUACAACACUCUGAUGAUGAAAGUGAAAAAGCUGUGUGCUGAUCAUUACACGAAGAGACACAGGUUGGAAGACUUACAUUGGCCGGUGAAGCCAUGAGUUGCAUCCUUUUGAGGAGAAGGAAGAGGAGAAGAAGAAGAAAAAGGCGGAGGGAACAAUAGAGAAGAUGAAGAGCAAGAGGAUUAGAUAGAGGACGAUCACCUUGAGCCCUAUGUUGAUGAAAUGGAGGAAGUGUUUGCUCUAGAGCGUCCCUCAACCAAGGGGGUAGUCUUUUGCAGCCAUAGGGAGGACGAGUCACGUAACCAACCACCCCAACGAUUUUACAAGCGGGCUACAAUUAAGGGAAAUGGGAAAGAGAUAGUGGAAUCGAAGUCUGACUCCAAUGGUGAAAAUUAGUUACAUUUUUUUGCAUACCAAUAGCGGAAUGUAACUAUUAAAUACUGAAUUAUUUUGAAUUGAACUUGGUUUUGGAUGGUUUUUGUUUUUUA